AGCUGGCUCUGCUGGCCAACAGGGCACGGCGCCCGGGAUGCGCAUUGAGUUCCUCUCGCGGGCUGCUGGGAGUCGAGGAUCUCUCCCGACUGCGGCCUCAGGCUGGCCAGGCUUCUCUGCCCUCUUCUCAAAGCCUCAACCUUGGCAUGUAAAGACUUGAACAAACACUAACAUGGUCUUUUAACAUCAAAUCCACAUCCCUCGAGUGACCCCAGCUACAUUUGAAGUGCCUGCCUGAGAAAGCUCAAGGCUGCCAAAAGAAUUUAGCAUUUGUGCUGGUCAACAUCCGAAGAUGGUAUUUCCAGUAUGAAUUCCCACCAGCAGUGCAUGAGAGUUCUGAAUUCCCUACAUUCUUUCUACACUUACGGUCCACUCUAACAAAGGCCAACACUUACCUGAAAGAAAUUGAUGUCCCUUCCUAAAAUUCAUAUCUUUCCUCUCUGAAAGGAAGCAAACUGGCAGAAAAUAAGUAAUUUCAUUUAAAUUAAAUGACUAGAAAUUAUAUAGAAGAGUCUGAACAAAAUGAAAGGACUAUUUUUAAAGACAACAAAUUAUAAUAAAAGGAUUCAGGGCUUCCCUGGUGGAGCAGUGGUUAAGAAUCCUCCUGCCAAUGCA